rnacentral:rRNA from 2 species
UUGACCUCGAAUCAGGUAGGGAUACCCGCUGAACUUAAGCAUAUCAAUAAGGCGGAGGAA